GUCCUUGCAGCUUCAUUUGCAAUCCUUUCCCAUUCAGGUGCUUCCUUGUCAAUCUACACAAGAGGGUUGCUGUAAUAAGAGUUCCUUAGAGGUCUGAGUUAACUACUUUGGCCAUGUUCGUUGGUUGUUCGUUUUGUUAUUGUCGCAUAAACUUGCAACAACGAAACAAACAACAUUGGUAGCAUGUUCUGCGACAAUAAAACUAACAACAUUUUGGUCGCAUGUUGUAGUCGCAGAACUAACAUGCAACAACAUUUUGGUCGCAGGUUCUGCGACAACGCAUGUCCUAAGUCGCGUCUUGCGACUUGUAAAUGAACAUGGCCUUUGUCAUUGCAAAUACAAGGCUAACGACCACUUACGUGCCCUAGGAGGCAUCCUUUAGCCUUUGGUAGGUUUGCUAGUGGCCUCUGAUGAACAACCUCACAUAGUGAAAACGGCUUGACACCAUUUUCUUCUAUCUGUCUCUCCCUUUCAUUCCAUAUUCUCAGUAGUUCCAUGGACGGCGCGGUGCCAAUGAUUCCAGGGUGCGUCAAACCCGGAAACCGUACUCCUACACAUGAUGAUGGUGAGCUACAUCAACAACAAAAGAUCCAAUCAAAA